rnacentral:tRNA from 1 species
GUCGCGCGACACCAGCCGUUGGAGGUCGGCUGCCAGAUCGGCCAGCAUGGCGCGAUAGCCGCCGAUGCCCCGGGCC